GAUGAACGCUGGCGGCGUGCCUAAUACAUGCAAGUCGAGCGAACAGAUGAGGAGCUUGCUCCUCUGACGUUAGCGGCGGACGGGUGAGUAACACGUGGAUAACCUACCUAUAAAACUGGGAUAACUUCGGGAAACCGGAGCUAAUACCGGAUAAUAUAUUAAACCGCAUGGUUCAAUAGGGAAAGACGGUUUUGCUGUCACUUAUAGAUGGAUCCGCGCCGCAUUAGCUAGUUGGUAAGGUAACGGCUUACCAAGGCAACGAUGCGUAGCCGACCUGAGAGGGUGAUCGGCCACACUGGAACUGAGACACGGUCCAGACUCCUACGGGAGGCAGCAGCAGGGAAUCUUCCGCAAUGGGCGAAAGCCUGACGGAGCAACGCCGCGUGAGUGAUGAAGGUCUUCGGAUCGUAAAACUCUGUUAUUAGGGAAGAACAAAUGUGUAAGUAACUAUGCACGUCUUGACGGUACCUAAUCAGAAAGCCACGGCUAACUACGUG
rnacentral:rRNA from 1 species